rnacentral:rRNA from 1 species
AACGAAUGCUGGCGGCAGGCUUAACACAUGCAAGUCGAGCGCCCCGCAAGGGGAGCGUCAGUCGGGAGAGUAAUUCGUGGGAAUCUACCCAUCUCUACGCAAUAACGCAUGGAAACGUGUGCUAAUACCCUAUACUUCCUUCAGGAGAAUGAUUUAUCGGAGAUGGAUGAGCCCGCGUUGGAGUGGCUAGUUGGUGGGGUAAAGGCCUACCAAGGCGACGAUCCAUACCUGGUCUGAGAGGAUGAUCAGCCCCGCUCGGACUGCGACACGGCCCAGACUCCUACGGGAGGCAGCAGUGGGGAAUAUUGGACAAUGGGCGCAAGCCUGAUCCAGCCAUCCCGCGUGAGUGAUGAAGGCCCUAGGGUUGUAAAGCUCUUUCACCGGCGAACAUAAUGACGGUAACCGGAGAAGAGGCCCCGGCUAACUUCGUGCCAGCAGCCGCCGCCGUAA